rnacentral:rRNA from 1 species
AUUGAACGCUGGCGGCAGGCCUAACACAUGCAAGUCGAACGGUAACAGGAAACAGCUUGCUGUUUCGCUGACGAGUGGCGGACGGGUGAGUAAUGUCUGGGAAACUGCCUGAUGGAGGGGGAUAACUACUGGAAACGGUAGCUAAUACCGCAUAACGUCGCAAGACCAAAGAGGGGGACCUUCGGGCCUCUUGCCAUCGGAUGUGCCCAGAUGGGAUUAGCUAGUAGGUGGGGUAACGGCUCACCUAGGCGACGAUCCCUAGCUGGUCUGAGAGGAUGACCAGCCACACUGGAACUGAGACACGGUCCAGACUCCUACGGGAGGCAGCAGUGGGGAAUAUUGCACAAUGGGCGCAAGCCUGAUGCAGCCAUGCCGCGUGUAUGAAGAAGGCCUUCGGGUUGUAAAGUACUUUCAGCGGGGAGGAAGGGAGUAAAGUUAAUACCUUGGCUAAUUGACGUUACCCGCAGAAGAAGCACCGGCUAACUCCGUG